UCGGUUCGGGUAUCGGGUUGG
rnacentral:siRNA from 1 species